GAUGAAGAACGUAGCGAAAUGCGAUAAGUAAUGCGAAUUGCAGAAUUCAGCGAGUCAUCGAGUCUUUGAACGCACAUUGCGCCCCCUGGUAUUCCGGGGGGCAUGCCUGUCCGAGCGUCAUUGCUGCCCUCAAGCACGGCUUGUGUGUUGGGCCCCGUCCUCCGAUCCCGGGGGACGGGCCCGAAAGGCAGCGGCGGCACCGCGUCCGGUCCUCGAGCGUAUGGGGCUUUGUCACCCGCUCUGUAGGCCCGGCCGGCGCUUGCCGAUCAACCCAAAUUUUUAUCCAGGUUGACCUCGGAUCAGGUAGGGAUACCCGCUGAACUUAAGCAUAUCAAUAAGCGGAGGA
rnacentral:misc_RNA from 1 species